CUUAUGACUGCGCCAAGUGCUAUUAAUAGUGACUGUUAUACAUACACGCGACAUUCAAGGAAAUAAAAUUGCUCUAUUGCGCGAUACAGUUCAAUUUCACGCUGGACUUCAUUCGCCAUAUAUGUAAUAAUUAAAUACAAAAAAUAGCAAUUUAAAAAAAAAAAAA